GUAAUACUCCCUCCGUCUGGAUUUACUUGUCGCACAAAUGGAUGGAAAUGGAUGUAUAUAGAACUAAAAUACAACUAGAUACAUCCAUUCCUAUGACAAGUAUUUCUGGGUGGAGGGAGUACAUG
rfam:Hordeum vulgare subsp. vulgare, WGS project CAJW01000000 data, contig: morex_contig_74154